rnacentral:tRNA from 1 species
GGGUCGAUGCCCGAGAGGUUAAAGGGGAUGGAUUGUAAAUCCAUUGAGAAAUUCUCUUCAUAGGUUCAAAUCCUAUUCGACCCA